CGGCGAGCGAACGGGGAGCAGCCCAGAGCCUGAAUCAGUGUGUGUGUUAGUGGAAGCGUCUGGAAAGGCGCGUGAUACAGGGUGACAGCCCCGUACACAAAAAUGCACAUGCUGUGAGCUCGAUGAGUAGGGCGGGACACGUGGUAUCCUGUCUGAAUAUGGGGGGACCAUCCUCCAAGGCUAAAUACUCCUGACUGACCGAUAGUGAACCAGUACCGUGAGGGAAAGGCGAAAAGAACCCCGGCGAGGGGAGUGAAAAAGAACCUGAAACCGUGUACGUACAAGCAGUGGGAGCACGCUUAGGCGUGUGACUGCGUACCUUUUGUAUAAUGGGUCAGCGACUUAUAUUCUGUAGCAAGGUUAACCGAAUAGGGGAGCCGAAGGGAAACCGAGUCUUAACUGGGCGUUAAGUUGCAGGGUAUAGACCCGAAACCCGGUGAUCUAGCCAUGGGCAGGUUGAAGGUUGGGUAACACUAACUGGAGGACCGAACCGACUAAUGUUGAAAAAUUAGCGGAUGACUUGUGGCUGGGGGUGAAAGGCCAAUCAAACCGGGAGAUAGCUGGUUCUCCCCGAAAGCUAUUUAGGUAGCGCCUCGUGAAUUCAUCUCCGGGGGUAGAGCACUGUUUCGGCAAGGGGGUCAUCCCGACUUACCAACCCGAUGCAAACUGCGAAUACCGGAGAAUGUUAUCACGGGAGACACACGGCGGGUGCUAACGUCCGUCGUGAAGAGGGAAACAACCCAGACCGCCAGCUAAGGUCCCAAAGUCAUGGUUAAGUGGGAAACGAUGUGGGAAGGCCCAGACAGCCAGGAUGUUGGCUUAGAAGCAGCCAUCAUUUAAAGAAAGCGUAAUAGCUCACUGGUCGAGUCGGCCUGCGCGGAAGAUGUAACGGGGCUAAACCAUGCACCGAAGCUGCGGCAGCGACGCUUAUGCGUUGUUGGGUAGGGGAGCGUUCUGUAAGCCUGUGAAGGUGUACUGUGAGGUAUGCUGGAGGUAUCAGAAGUGCGAAUGCUGACAUAAGUAACGAUAAAGCGGGUGAAAAGCCCGCUCGCCGGAAGACCAAGGGUUCCUGUCCAACGUUAAUCGGGGCAGGGUGAGUCGACCCCUAAGGCGAGGCCGAAAGGCGUAGUCGAUGGGAAACAGGUUAAUAUUCCUGUACUUGGUGUUACUGCGAAGGGGGGACGGAGAAGGCUAUGUUGGCCGGGCGACGGUUGUCCCGGUUUAAGCGUGUAGGCUGGUUUUCCAGGCAAAUCCGGAAAAUCAAGGCUGAGGCGUGAUGACGAGGCACUACGGUGCUGAAGCAACAAAUGCCCUGCUUCCAGGAAAAGCCUCUAAGCAUCAGGUAACAUCAAAUCGUACCCCAAACCGACACAGGUGGUCAGGUAGAGAAUACCAAGGCGCUUGAGAGAACUCGGGUGAAGGAACUAGGCAAAAUGGUGCCGUAACUUCGGGAGAAGGCACGCUGAUAUGUAGGUGAAGUCCCUCGCGGAUGGAGCUGAAAUCAGUCGAAGAUACCAGCUGGCUGCAACUGUUUAUUAAAAACACAGCACUGUGCAAACACGAAAGUGGACGUAUACGGUGUGACGCCUGCCCGGUGC
rnacentral:rRNA from 1 species